UAGGGAAUCUUCCGCAAUGGGCGAAAGCCUGACGGAGCAACGCCGCGUGAGUGAUGAAGGUCUUCGGAUCGUAAAACUCUGUUAUUAGGGAAGAACAAACGUGUAAGUAACUGUGCACGUCUUGACGGUACCUAAUCAGAAAGCCACGGCUAACUACGUGCCAGCAGCCGCGGUAAUACGUAGGUGGCAAGCGUUAUCCGGAAUUAUUGGGCGUAAAGCGCGCGUAGGCGGUUUUUUAAGUCUGAUGUGAAAGCCCACGGCUCAACCGUGGAGGGUCAUUGGAAACUGGAAAACUUGAGUGCAGAAGAGGAAAGUGGAAUUCCAUGUGUAGCGGUGAAAUGCGCAGAGAUAUGGAGGAACACCAGUGGCGAAGGCGACUUUCUGGUCUGUAACUGACGCUGAUGUGCGAAAGCGUGGGGAUCAAACAGG
rnacentral:rRNA from 2 species